rnacentral:misc_RNA from 1 species
GAUGAAGAACGUAGCGAAAUGCGAUAAGUAAUGUGAAUUGCAGAAUUCAGUGAAUCAUCGAAUCUUUGAACGCACAUUGCGCCCGCCAGUAUUCUGGCGGGCAUGCCUGUUCGAGCAUCAUUUCAACCAUCAAGCCCCCGGCUUGUGUUGGGGACCUGCGGCUGCCGCAGGCCCUGAAAAGCAGUGGCGGGCUCGCUGUCACACCGAGCGUAGUAGCAUACAUCUCGCUCUGGGCGUGCUGCGGGUUCCGGCCGUUAAACCACCUUCAUAACCCAAGGUUGACCUCGGAUCAGGUAGGAAGACCCGCUGAACUUAAGCAUAUCAAUAAGCGGAGGA